rnacentral:tRNA from 1 species
AGGGAUGUAGUUAAAUAUAAUACUUGAUUUGCAUUCAAGAGGUGUCCUAAAGACCUUCCUUA